UUGGGCCGCGAUCUUGAGGGACAUUAACACCAAUUAACACUGUGGGUUGUUAACUUACUCGGUUCAGUUUCGCGCCAAAUGCAGCGCCGCGUGGGCCUCAGUCGCCAUCUUUGUGCGAUCCAGGGAGGUCGUGUCUGUGCUGCGUGUGACGUCUUGUUGAAUACGGCUCAAGAUGAGCAGAAUGAAGGUAAAUCUCCAAGUCCCACAGUCAGAGCUCAAGACUGUGAGGCAGGACUUCAUUCCUUGAUGAAUGCGGCUCAACUGCUAACAGGAUAAGAAGACACGAACCAGAAGUUGGACGCUUUUUAGAAUUUCCUCUCGUACCGCUAUAGUGUCAUGGGUGGAGGGGAGCGAGGCUGCCAUCUCCGAAGACAACACGCCUCUGAGUGUGCGCCUCCUAGUUUGUGCGGCAAUGUUCCCCGUGUUCAAUGAGAAAAUUCAAUGCCCCAGCGGUCAGAACUCCCAGCUAGUAUUGACGCAAUAGCUCUCCAAAUGUCGACCGGAAAGUCGUUAAAAAAAUCGUUGCGACGAUCGGCUCGACAAGCUGAAGACCGCGCCAGUUAAUGCAUGUGAAACGGCACCUCUACUCUCCCAUCGCCAGGCCCAAAGACGUGUUAUUCAUAGGUGUCUUUCACAAUACUAGUGUUGCUGAUCGCGGAGGACCACUGUCCACUGCUCGUCCGCCGUGGUGUUACUUCUGAUGAGGCUCAGAGCGCAUGUGUAUUGUUUACUGUGAACAAUCUGUUGAAAUAUAUAAUGAGUAGAUCUGUA
rnacentral:lncRNA from 1 species